CAAAUACGUAAGUAUCGUGCCAGGUUUUAUGCACCUAAUAAUAAUAAUGAGGGGAAUCGUAGCUGGAGUGUAAAACAUUUUUUAAGCAAGAAUAAUGCCCGAUAAAACACUCCCAAUAUGCAUUUUUUUUACUUGCUUGUGCUUUUUGAGGGCAAAUCGUUUUGCUAAAGGAUGAUGAUGCUAAUUGUUUAUCCUUCUUUCAACAAAUUGGUUGACUGUUACAAUCUUGGGAAACCGGAAAAUAACAAAGUUUUACGCCAGCGACGAGGUAAUUGCGGUUUCGGUAUAUUUAAGAAGAUUGCCUUGUUUUCAUAAAGAGAUCUGGCUAAAAUUUUGCAUUACUUUUCGAUAUUACACUUCCAAAACGUUUCAGCAGCUGCAUAAAUAAAAAAAAACAUGAAUGAAAUUAUAUGCAUUUCAUUCCAAAUCCUGCGAUCCUACACAAAACUAACUUUUGUUGACUUACUAUUGCUAAUGUUUUAAGUAGAUUUUGGAUUUUGUGGAUCGUGGAUUUUCCCAUUAUGUUAACCUGUCAAUAUUUAUUGA